UCUUAGAGAGAGAUUUCCCCCUUGACACCCCGGUGUGCGAUGGAUUAACUAGUUAGAAACUGGUGAAAGGCGGGGUCCCUGCGCCUGAGAGCGCGGGAGCCGGGUGCCCUGCCCGUGCGGCCUGCGGGAGCAGGGCUGGACGGACUCCUCAGUCCGCUGCCCCCUAGGGCUUCGCGCAGGGAGGCCGGCUCGGCCCGCUCCCCUCCCUCCCCGGCUGGCCCCUUCCCUUUCCAGCGCUCAGGGCAGCUCCGCCGUCCAAACCGGAGCUGAGUUUGCUGACAGGGGCGCACGGGCUGGCAGCGCUGAUGUCAGAGCCGGCGGACGGCCGUGAUUGGAUCUAAUUAGACUUCGCAGCAGCAAAUAGACAGGCUCCCUGCGUGAUCGGCUUCAAAGUGGCUGGUGCCCAACAACUAGCAGAGGUGCCAAAGUAGAGCCUGCGCGCGGAGCCCAGAUUCGGGGCGGCUGGGGCGGCGGGCGCUCCGCGGUCCCGGCCUGCGAGCUUGGUGCGGGCUCAGACCGCCGGCUCUGCCCGGCUGGACGCAGGUGACAGAGAGCCGCCAAAGGAGACGGUGACAGAGAGCCUCCAGAGGAGACGCCAGGAGUGCGAGCGUGCAGCCCCGAAAAGUGAGCCGGCCCCCGAUCCGCAGGAGCGUCCCCGGCGGCCGCGGCCGGAGCCGGAAAGCUGAGAGUGUUGGAGAGGACUCCUGCCCGGGUCCACUCGCCGGCCGCUGCCAUGGCAUCGGUCCUGGGGACCAGCAGAGCGUCCGGAGGGCUGAGCGGUCAACUCAAAUGCAAGUCCAAGCGGAGGAGGAGGCGGCGGGCCAAGCGGAAAGGCAACGGGCCAGUAAGUUCAACUGAUGUGAAAAGAGAGAAAAGAUAA
rnacentral:lncRNA from 1 species